AGUGAACGCUGGCGGUAGGCCUAACACAUGCAAGUCGAACGGCAGCACAGUAAGAGCUUGCUCUUACGGGUGGCGAGUGGCGGACGGGUGAGGAAUACAUCGGAAUCUACUUUUUCGUGGGGGAUAACGUAGGGAAACUUACGCUAAUACCGCAUACGACCUACGGGUGAAAGCAGGGGAUCUUCGGACCUUGCGCGAUUGAAUGAGCCGAUGUCGGAUUAGCUAGUUGGCGGGGUAAAGGCCCACCAAGGCGACGAUCCGUAGCUGGUCUGAGAGGAUGAUCAGCCACACUGGAACUGAGACACGGUACAGACUCCUACGGGAGGCAGCAGUGGGGAAUAUUGGACAAUGGGCGCAAGCCUGAUCCAGCAAUACCGCGUGGGUGAAGAAGGCCUUCGGGUUGUAAAGCCCUUUUGUUGGGAAAGAAAAGCAGCAGGUUAAUACCCCGCUGUUCUGACGGUACCCAAAGAAUAAGCACCGGCUAACUUCGUG
rnacentral:rRNA from 1 species